rnacentral:lncRNA from 1 species
CUGAACAUAAAUACACACAAUGUACAUAACUAGUUUAAAGAAUAAAAUGUACUCCUUAUGGGAUUACGACACCUACUCACAAACAAAGCCCGUUUGUGUGUUAUGUUGGUAAGUUUUUGUCAAUUUGUCACAACCCUAGCUUAUUUGGGAAAAGGGAAUUUCAACUGAGGAACUGCCUGGAAGGUGUCUAUGGGUCAGCUUCUUGGUUGCUGACUGAUACAGGAGAAGGGCCCAGCCCAUUGUGGGCAGUGCCAUCAUCCCUAGGUAGGUGACCUGGACUGUAUGAAAAAGGUAGCCGAGCAAGCCAAGAGCAAAGCAGUAAGCAGUGUUCCUCCUGGUCUCUGCUUCAGUUCCUGCCUCCAGGUUCCUGGCUUGAGCUUGUGCCCUGACAUCCCAAGAUGGUGGACGGCAACCUGUGAGCUGAAAUAAAAAGCCGUUCUUCCACAAGUUAGUUUCGGUCCUGAUGUUUAUUGCAGCAACAAAUGGGGUUGUUCCAAUGCCCUCCUCAGACACCCUGCAAGUGGCUACCCAUAAGGCCUCCUUCUCCUCACUGUGGUGCCAAAACAGCUUACAUCCUGAGAUGCAUAUCAUCACAUGCGUGUAAAUAGCAUGCUUCCAUGUAAAUAUCAUUAAAGACGCUGCCAAACUGAGCCAAGUGUGAACAGAACCAGAGAGCUCUCACGCUCCAAAGAAGGCUUCUUCAGCUUUGACUGAACAUCAUCACAACCAUCACAUGCGGAUUCACAACUUGGUACACAGAAACAGCCGGUCGCACAUACCCGAGUGUCUCUGGCUCCCUCGGCCAAUCUGCAUCCAGAACUGUUAGGAGCAUGAGUGCUCCAGAAAGAUGCAUUGUCUCUAGGCAGGAGAAAGGAGCCUGCUGGCAGGAUGGAGGGGCCUCCCGCCUUGUGCAGACUCCACACACUGGAGACUGCCAGCGACUAUGCAAAAAUCUUUCUGUUUACAAGGGAUCCUGAGGCUUUCUGCAACACAGCCUUCUCUCUCCUUCUCCCCUACACCCCAGUGCUCACCAGCCAUAUGUGGCUUAUGUCAACGGUGAGAUACAAAAACCACAAAAUAAAAAUGAUAGUUCAGGGGCUGGAGAGAUGGCUCAGCAGUUAGGAGCUCUGACUGCUCUUCCGAAGGUCCUGAGUUCAAAUCCCAGCAACCACAUGGUGGCUCAGAACCGUCUGUAAUGAGAUCUGACUCCUCCUGGAGUGUCUGAAGACAACUACAGUGUACUUACGUAUAAUAAAUAAAUAAAUCUUUAAAAAAAUGAUAGUUCAGAGUUUAGUACUCCCAAGAAACCUGAAUUGUAAAAUUUCUAAUUUAAUAGGAUGACAAAGUGAAAUGACAAGUUUUAAUGUGCUAGGUUAAAUAAACAUGUCAUCAAUUUGCACAUUCUUUUCUUUUUUUAAACAAAACACCCAACUUAGAGUCUAAAGUAGCCCAGGGUAGCUCUGAAUUUGCCCUGUAGCCAAGGCUAGCCUUGAAUACCUUAUCCUCCUGCCUCUAAGUAUAGAGUGCUGGAAUUACAAGCCUAUGCUACUAUAUGUGGCAUGUUCUCCCUUUUUAAUGUAGCUACUAGAAAAUGUGAACUGGCAUUGACAGUUCACAGUCAUAGCACAGAUCAGUCACACAGCACAUCAGUCACAGAACAGGUGUGUCACACAGCAGGUCAAUCACAGAGCAGGUCAGUCACAGAGCAGGUCAGUCACAGAACAGGUCAGUCACAGAACAGGUGUGUCACAGAACAGGUGUGUCACAGAACAGGUCAGUCACAGAACAGGUCAGUCACAGAACAGGUGUGUCACAGAACAGGUUGGUCACAGAACAGGUGUGUCACAGAGCAGGUGUGUCACAGAACAGGUGUGUCACAGAACAGGUAAGUCACAGAACAGGUGUGUCACAGAGCAGGUAUGUCACACAACAGGUAUGUCACAGAACAGGUAUGUCACAGAGCAGGCCAGUCACAGAGUAGGUGUAUCUGGAACCUCUGGGUUAAAUGGAUGCAUUUUAUCAUGGUCCAUGGAAACAUUAUUCCCUUUUUUGACUUUUAUUUUUAUGGUGCUAAUCUAAUUCCUUAUUAAGUUUCCUUUAGCUGCAGCUUCAAGGAAGGUCACACUCCUUUUUCCCAAAAUAAACCCAUAACACCAUGGAAUGGGGAAAUGGGAAGAGCUGCCAAAACCUUAACCGGAUGGGCCAGAAUCAGGAAUUCCCGAGUGCCUUCAGCCUUGGCUUUUCACUAGCUGUCCCAUUCCAAAGUGAUGGGGGCGGGGGGGGGGGGACACACACAAAACUUCACCAAGGCCUCUCAUUGUUUUGCUCCAUGAGCCUAUAAGUGUUUGCUCUUCAGGAUGCUACCAAGGCUCCCCUUUCUAGUCCACCAUUAUCCUGGGACUCAGCCUCCUGGUGUAGACCCAGGGUCCCCCUAGUUCUUCUUUGCCACCCUCCUCAGCCAUACC